rnacentral:rRNA from 1 species
GACAGAGGGUGCAAACGUUGUUCGGAAUUACUGGGCGUAAAGCGUGUGUAGGCGGCCACGUAAGUCGGAUGUGAAAGCCCCAGGCUCAACCUGGGAAGUGCACUCGAUACUGCGUGGCUUGAGUAUCGGAGAGGUUGGUGGAAUUCUCGGUGUAGAGGUGAAAUUCGUAGAUAUCGAGAGGAACACCGGUGGCGAAGGCGGCCAACUGGACGAAUACUGACGCUGAGACACGAAAGCGUGGGGAGCAAACAGG